GAAGUAAAAGUCGUAACAAGGUUUCCGUAGGUGAACCUGCGGAAGGAUCAUUAACGAAUUUAAUUAUCAUCUUAUUAUGUGAACUUUUAAUCCCUUUGUGGAUUAGAAAUGCUUCGGUGCUGGGUAAAAAUUUAUAUUUUUACCAGGCGCCGGUAGAAAACUCAUUUAAACUUUAUGUCUAAACUAAAAAUUUUAAUAAAUUAAAACUUUCAACAACGGAUCUCUAGGUUCUCGCAUCGAUGAAGAACGCAGCGAAAUGCGAUACGUAUUGUGAAUUGCAGAUUUUUGUGAAUCAUCGAAUCUUUGAACGCACAUUGCACCUGGUGGUAUUCCGCCAGGUAUGCCUGUUUGAGCGUCAUUUCUCUCUCACUCCGGUGGUUUUGCUGUUUAUCAUUUUUUCGGAAAUGUACAGUGAAAAGAAAUGGCAAGGCUCUAGUUCUUACGAAAUGUUUUAGGUUCUACCAACUACAUUCUCUAAGUUCUAAUAAAGUCGGCUUGAUAAUUCUUUCAAUGUUGACCUCAAAUCAGGUAGGACUACCCGCUGAACUUAAGCAUAUCAAUAAGCGGAGGAAAAGAAACCAACAGGGAUUGCCUCAGUAACGGCGAGCGAAGCGGCAAAAGCUCAAAUUUGAAAGCUAGCGUCUUUUAGGCGUUCGCAUUGUAAUUUGAAGAUGGCAACUUUGGUGGCGGCUCUUGCACAUGUUCCUUGGAACAGGACAUCAUAGAGGGUGAGAAUCCCGUACAUGGUGAGAGUACCGUCGCUUUGUA
rnacentral:misc_RNA from 1 species